rnacentral:rRNA from 1 species
ACGUAGGGUGCGAGCGUUAAUCGGAAUUACUGGGCGUAAAGCGUGCGCAGGCGGUUAUGUAAGACAGAUGUGAAAUCCCCGGGCUCAACCUGGGAACUGCGUUUGUGACUGCAUAACUAGAGUACGGCAGAGGGAGGUGGAAUUCCGCGUGUAGCAGCGAAAUGCGUAGGUAUGCGGAGGAAUGCCGAGGGCGAAGGCAGGCAACUGGGAUAGUACUCACGCGUAGGCGCGUAAGCGUGGGGAGCAAACAG